rnacentral:rRNA from 1 species
CAAGCCUGAUGCAGCGACGCCGCGUGAGGGAUGACGGCCUUCGGGUUGUAAACCUCUUUCAGCAGGGAAGAAGCGAAAGUGACGGUACCUGCAGAAGAAGCGCCGGCUAACUACGUGCCAGCAGCCGCGGUAAUACGUAGGGCGCGAGCGUUGUCCGGAAUUAUUGGGCGUAAAGAGCUUGUAGGCGGUUUGUCGCGUCUGCUGUGAAAGCCCGGGGCUUAACCCCGGGUUUGCAGUGGGUACGGGCUAACUAGAGUGCAGUAGGGGAGACUGGAAUUCCUGGUGUAGCGGUGAAAUGCGCAGAUAUCAGGAGGAACACCAAUGGCGAAGGCAGGUCUCUGGGCUGUAACUGACGCUGAGAAGCGAAAGCAUGGGGAGCAAACAGGAUUAGAUACCCUGGUAGUCCAUGCCGUAAACGUUGGGCACUAGGUGUGGGGGGCAUUCCACGUUUUCCGCGCCGUAGCUAACGCAUUAAGUGCCCCGCCUGGGGAGUACGGCCGCAAGGCUAAAACUCAAAGAAAUUGACGGGGGCCCGCACAAGCGGCGGAGCAUGCGGAUUAAUUCGAUGCAACGCGAAGAACCUUACCAAGGCUUGACAUAUACUGGACCGCUCUAGAGAUAGAGUUUCCCUUUGGGGCUGGUAUACAGGUGGUGCAUGGUUGUCGUCAGCUCGUGUCGUGAAUGUUGGGUUAAGUCCCGCAACGAGCGCAACCCUCGUUCUAUGUUGCCAGCACGUGAUGGUGGGGACUCAUAGGAGACUGCCGGGGUCAACUCGGAGGAAGGUGGGGAUGACGUCG